rnacentral:rRNA from 1 species
UACGUAGGGUGCAAGCGUUAAUCGGAAUUACUGGGCGUAAAGCGUGCGCAGGCGGUUUUGUAAGUCUGUCGUGAAAUCCCCGGGCUCAACCUGGGAAUUGCGAUGGAGACUGCAAGGCUAGAAUCUGGCAGAGGGGGGUAGAAUUCCACGUGUAGCAGUGAAAUGCGUAGAGAUCAGCAGGAAUACCCGUGGCGAAGGCGGCCCCCUGGGCCGAACCUGACGCUGAGGCGCGAAGGCUAGGGGAGCGAACGGG